AUUGAACGCUGGCGGCAGGCCUAACACAUGCAAGUCGAGCGGAAGAACGGUGCUUGCUUCUGGUUUCCGCGUGGGACGGGUGUGUAAUGCCUAUGAAUCUCCUUCGCUUUUUUUUCUUACGUCUUCACGCAGGCGCUGCUACUGCAUACUUCCAGCUGCCGCACGUUGGGGAGCUUCGGACCUUUCGCUCUCAUGUGAGUCUAGGUCGGGUUAGCUAGUUGGGUGGUUAAAGGCCUACCAAGGCGACGAUUCGUAGCUCGUCUGAGAGGAUGAUCAGCCACACUGGAACUGAGACACGGUCCAGACGCCUAAGGGAGGCAGCAGUGGGGAAUAUUGGACAAUGGGCGAAAGCAUGAUCCAGCCAGGCCGCGUGUGUGAAGAAGGUCUUCGGAGUGUAAAGCACUUUUGGUGGGGAGGAAGGGCAGUAGGUUAAUACCUAGCUGGUGUGACGGUAACAAAAGAAUAAGCACCGGCUAACUUCGUG
rnacentral:rRNA from 1 species